AUGAAAACCUCUGGCGAGGUUCCCUUUUAUCACUCGUUGCCCGUGCCAGGAGCUCAAGACAGCCUCAAGGAUCAGAUCCACUCCAAGGUUAUGGGCACGAUAGGCAAUGUCAUGAACUCCAUUGAUCGAAAGGCACUGCCUCAGCAACUGGAAGGGGCAUGGGAAACAGCUGGAAAUGUCGUUAACUCCCUCGAGUCAAAACUGUCCGGGCAGAAGCCGUUUGAUUUUGACGGCGGAAAUGAUUUUCUUGAUGGAUACGAAUGUCCUGAUGAUUAUUGGGAGUAUGAACAGCACAAGGCACAAAAGCCAGUUAACAUUAGAAACCUGCUGGGUGGUAUAGUUGCUAUCAUUGGCCGCAGUUGCAAAAAUGAUGACAUUCAACAAUCAAAGGAGGCUAAGACUAGUGUCUCAUUCUUGGGGUCAGGCAGUGAUGGAGAUGCAUCCUUGCAUUCGUCAGUCUACGCACCAAGUGCUCCUCCUUUGCUGGAUGAAGAAGCCUUGAGUUACAAUAUUUAUAGGGUUGUUUUAGAGGCAGAACCACCAGAAUGGCUGCCCGACAGCUAUGCUGACUCGUGCAUGCAGUGUUCUGCUUCUUUCACUGCCAUUACUCGUGGAAGGCAUCAUUGUCGAUUCUGUGGAGGGAUAUUUUGCAAGGCAUGUUCAAAAGGCAGAUGUCUUUUGCCAGCCAAGUUUCGUGAGCGAAACCCACAGAGGGUCUGCGAUGCAUGCUAUGAUAGGCUUGAUCCAUUGCAGAACUUACUGAUAAAUUCUGUCAGCAAUGCGACACAAACUGCAAAGCAUGAUGUUAUGGAUUGGACUUCUGCGAGAGGGUGGUUGAAUUUGCCUAUUGGAUUAACAUUGGAACAUGAGAUAUACAAGGCAGCAGUAUCCCUUAGGAGCUACAGUCAGGUUUCAAGGAUAAACCCGGGAAAAUCUAUUCCGCAUGCAGUCCUUAGUGGAGCAAGUGGACUUGCUAUCUUGACAGUUGUAAAAGCUGGUGCAUUUCUUACAUACAAACUUGGAACUGGCUUAGUAGUUGCUCGUAGAUCAGAUGGAUCAUGGUCUCCACCCUCUGCUAUAGCUUCAGCUGGAUUAGGAUGGGGAGCACAGCUUGGUGGUGAGUUGAUGGAUUUCAUCAUAGUGCUUCAUGGCCUUGAAGCUGUGAAAACCUUCAGCAGCCGAAUGCAUUUUUCACUCGGUGCAGGUUUAAGUGCUGCAGCAGGACCUGUUGGUAGAGUAUUAGAAGCUGAUGUGAGAGCUGGUAAUAAAGGUUCUGGAGUUUGCUAUACAUAUAGUCACAGCAAAGGCGCAUUUAUCGGGGUUUCUCUAGAAGGGAACAUUGUUACCACCAGGAUGGAUGCCAAUCUGCGGUUCUACGGCGACCCGUAUCUGACGACCAGUGAUAUACUUAUGGGGAAUCUGGAGCAACCAAAUGCUGCUAAAUUUCUGUACCAAGCGUUGGAUGACCUAUACUCGGGUCUGGAUUGUUAG
rnacentral:rRNA from 1 species